rnacentral:lncRNA from 1 species
GACUUCGUGGUAAUAGAGACUGGUACUAAUGAGAGGGCACCCAUCAUCAUAGGGAGGCCAUUCCUGAACACCUCGGGAGCUGUCAUCUACGCUAGUGCUGCCAAAAUCAGUUUCUACAUCAAGGGGAGGAAGGAGACGUUUUCCUUCAAGAACAAGACUACACAAAUCUCAGAGCAAUCCCGACAUGAACCAAGGAAGAGGACCAACAGGAGGAACAGAAACAAGCAAAUGUGGACUGAGUCAGCUAAGAUGGUCACUGCAGCUCAAGAAGGUCAAGAUCGUCAACUCAAGUCGCCUUUCUUGAUCAAGAAGGACGACCCUGGUGUUCCAAGCAUCAAGUGCACAAUCAACGGAUAUUCUUUUCAGAAGACACUCUACGACACCGGAUCUGACGUCAACAUAAUGGCCACAGUCACUUAUCAGUUCCUGUAUGGAACCAUGCCCCUAAAACCGACAUACAUUCAGCUCCAGAUGGCAGAUCAGACAUUCCGAAAGGUUGAAGGUUAUUGACAUGGGAGAAGACGAGUACAAUCCACCCAUCAUACUUGGAAGACCAUUCUUCAGCACUGUUAAAGCAAUCAUCUACAUCGGAACCGGAGAAGUCCACAUGCACUUCCCCUCUGAGAAGGUACGCUGGUAUUUUACUAACCCUAAUCAUAUAGUUGAAGACUCUAAGCAGGUCAGGACAAGAGAAGACGAUGCAACCGCAACCAGAGGAGGCAAAUCAUCAAGGACGGAUGUGCCGACUACGAAGGAGAAGUAGUAAGGUCUGAAGACAUAUAGCUUGAAUAGAACUGUCCUAAGGAGACCGUAGCACCGAGUCAAGUGUGGAGAGAGAAGAUAGUUAUACAUGAAGAGGAGGCCCUGCCGGAACCACCGACUACGCCAUCCAGCGAAUCCCAGGACGAAUGAGAAAACGGAGAGUCCCGUUCGGAGGACUUAAAAACACUGAACGCCUUGCGAAGAGGUAAACUUGGUAGUUAUCUUUUUUCUUUCAAUUAUUUUAACAUAGUUUGCUUAGUUAAUCAGGUUCAUAUCAUCUCAAAAAAGAAAAUAAAAAUGUUAAAAAUAGUAAGCCCCAUGUGAGUAUGCUCAUGGCAUAAAACCCACAAGUACAUUCACUGUGGUGGCAUAAAAAUAAAAUAAAUAUAUUCUUGUCCUAUAAAAUUGAAAAUAUAAAAAUAUAUUUAUGAUCCUACUAAAGAGAGUAACAUUUAUUGAGGAGGCUCAACAUGAUAAAGGCUAGAUAUUUAUGCUAACACUUAACUAGUUCCAUAAAGCUUUGUUGUCUAUUUGAGCUCCACAGAAAUUAAGGAUCAAAGAAGACUAGCAGACGGAGGACAUCCUAAUCGCUGUCAGGGUGCUGCCAACAUUCAAAUAGACCUCCGUCACCUGCUACAUCAAAAGAAAUUACGUCAAAAUCCAUCUUGGGGGAGAGCACCCCCAUUUAUCCAGCUAAGUGUUCUACUCACGUUUAUAUUUUACUCAAAUAAUAAAAAGAUGCAUAAUCAUAAAAAACCAAAUAAAGAUUUUGUGCUUAUAUUUAUCUUUGCUUAGUUUGCUAAAUAAAUAAAUAAAUAAAAUUUGCUAUGAACCCUCAUGAUAAGCUCUCUUAUGGAAAUGAUGAAUAGUUGCUCUACCACGACUAGUUCUUAAAAUUGAAAUCUCUCUCAAGUUUAGGCAUGACUGUUAUUAAUUAAGAUUCGCUCUAAACCUGAACUUGUGGGAAGAGUACUUGAUCUAAAGUCUAAGUCGUUAACGGAUAUGAUAUGGGAAGGUUGAGCUGCUGUUUAUCUGUUCCUAGAGAUGCUAGAAUUCUGGAGAAUUUUAUCUUUGAAAAUCUUUAAAAUGUUGCAUGAUGAGUUCCUGUAUGAUGAGAGUUUAAAUUCCUACCACAGCCAUAUAUACAUGCUUGCUAGACUAUGAACCACACAUUUACUUUACUACUUAUGAGCAUGGAGUGUGGUCAAGCUGUGUAGACCCUUAGGAGCUUGUCAUGCAGUUAAAUCAAGAUUCACUUGCACGUUCACUCACACAUGUUGCUUCUACUCCGGAAGUAUGCAUCCACAUAUAUCCACCCAUUUCCAUCUCCAGAACCACCCAAAAAUAUUAUACUCCUAAUCUGGGAGAGAAUAGCCAAAAACAUUUCUGUUUUCCCCUGUGAAAUAAAUGCUCAAGUUAUCUUGGUUACUUCCACUUGCUACAUUAUUUCAAGAGAUGAGUGCUCUAAAAAAAAGAAGAAAAAAAAAUACGAGGAAAUAAAAAGGGGCAAGUGCCCGGAACCUCGAAAGAAAAGAAAAAAGUGAGACGAGAGGUAAAAAUGGACAAGUGUCCGACAGUAGAAUUAGGGGUACAAGAUACCCACCUGAGAGAAAAGAAAAAAAAGGAAAAUAUAGAGCAUCUCAUUCCCCUCAAAAAGCUUCAAUGUGCAAGAAAGGUAUGUAACCCCUCAAAAGAGCAAACGUAGAAUUAGACUUUCACCAUUGUUAUCACCAUCGUCACCAUUGUUAUCACCAUUCAUUUGCCACACAUGCACAUCUUGAUUUGACUUAUUGACUUGUUCUUCUGGAUCCAUGGUUUGACUAUGCAAUAAAUGUCUUGUAAGUAUGUAUUAGCUGUCUCCCACCUAUGAGCUCCAGAUAUCAAAACCUUAUUAGAGUAGGGUGAGAGAGAAGGCAAUGCCACUAUGCCUCAUACCAAAAAUACUACAUACUUUGAGAGAAGGCAUAUACCAUUACUGCCUUGGUAAGGAUCCAGAAAUACCACAAAAGAGAGACUAGAGAGAGUCAUACAAGGAAUCUCUGAGUUUUAUUUGAAAAUCUGCAAAAACUCCAGAGCUAUAGUUAAUCGAAGAACAAGAGACAUGGCACUUGACUAGACCGUUCUAUCUUUUAACUACUCAAGACAGAAGUGAUGGUUACAAGUCCCAUGGUGAAAGGUAAUAUGAGUAAGUUUAAAUCCAAACAGUUUACCCUAACCUAGAGAUGAGAUCUUGUUUGAAUGCAUGUGUAUCUUUAAGGCAUGAAACCACUGCAGAAACUCUUGAGUCCAUCUUUGCUCAGGGACGAGCAAAGGUUAAGCUUGGGGGAGCUUGUUGACGGUCAUUAAUGCUCACAUUUAACCGUCAACCAAUCAUGGAAAAGGAUCUAAAUGGAACCAAUACCUAGACAUAGGGUUUUGUCUGACAGAAUUUCUGCAGGGGGUUAUCAGGAAAUACGGAAGAAAGGCCCACACGUCGGGUUUACAUAGAGAUAUUAACAUGCCGCACAAUUUUCUAUCAUCUAGAAGACUCCAGAAGCCACGGACCGAAGCGGAGGCCGAGAGGACUUAGGGACAGGGGGCCCGCCCUCCUCUCCUGGGCGCCCGCCCUCAUACAGAGUCCAAUCAGGACUCUCUUUCGGGAUAUUGCUCCACCGACCUAAAGGAUCAAGGAUAAUCGUUCAAUCAAUGUUGGUUUGAUCCAACGGCCCAGACUCACUUGAAGGGACUAUAAAACCAGACCCCCUGGCCCCUGGAGAUCAUACCUCUUCUACAGAAUCAAAGCUAGGGUUUCAAUUCUUCAUCCAAGUAGAGAGGAUCCCUCUAGUUCUUCUAAUUCUACCUCUAGUUCAUGUAGAUCUAGUUCUAGUUCAUCUAGUUCCUCUAGUUCUAGUUCUAGUUAGUUCUAGUUGUAAUCUAGAAAAUAAGGAGAGAGAAGAGGAGAGCGGAGGAGGAGCCGGAUCUGUCGGAUCUUCCUCAACAUUAUACUUUUGCAGCAUCUGGUUCGUUCUUCAUCGUUCUCCAGGUUCUUCAAUUCAUAAUUCCUGAGUUGUUUAAUUACUUUUAUUUACAUUCAAGUUAUUUAUUGGAUUCUCGCUUGCAUCAAGUGCUCUAGUCUUUAUAACUCUAGAGUAGUAAUUAAUAGAUUAGACGUGGUGUUUAGUCUUGCGAUUACCUGGAAUUGCACCCAAUCCUGCAGAUUGUUGUGGUAGACUUAGGGCAGUGACAGCCCUAACGGUCGACGUAUUCCACCACGUUCGGAUCAGAGUUUGUAGGACCGUAGUCAGAUCUUCCUAGCCCCCUUCUCAUCUCUUUCUGUGGUUAGUGCUCUGAUGUCCCGAUACAGAUAAUCUUGAAGUAAUUCUUGAUUCUUAGAUCAACUAGAGAACUCUCAGGAAACUUCCUCUCUUCCCACCAAAAAUAAUUAUAUAGUUAUCCUUGGGCGAUCUUGGAUCUUAAUUAGUACACUCACGUUCUCUGUGGAAAAUCGAUACUCUGGAAUACUCCCGAGUGAAAGCUACAUCGGUAUCCGUGCGCUUGUGGAUUUUUCUGUUUGCGUUUAAAAUACCCAACAGCACAGAAGACAUGCUUUAGAGCUUACAGGUCGGAGCUACGGUGCGUCGCCAUGAAGAACCUUCUCCUGGUCCUCCCAGCCGCCACUGCCGCUUCUGCCCCUCCAAGACUUAUCGGCUCGAUGUGCACGGCAGGCGGAUCACUGGUUAUCCGACCAGUGUCGAUCGGCACGACAUCAGGGUAGAUGCGCGUUCUCUGGACUAAGGAGGGUGCAGUCUCGUCCUCUUCGUCGCCGUCGUCGACGAUCCUCACGAGCCGGCACCGCUUCGGGGCUUGGCUGGUCUUCGCUGGCAUUGCUUCUGUGGGGGAUGGCUCUACGGCCAUUGGCCCUUUCCCAGACACCCUGUUGUCUGCUGCCGGUGCUCGGCAGGUCUGGUCCUCGUCGCUGCUGGUGUAUUGGAGACACCGAGCAGCAUUGUCUGCCGGUGGGUCCACCCAGCAGGAUGGUUCAUACCAGGUGCCAGUGACACAUGCACCGAGCACCGGUCAAUAUCUCCUAUCUACAAUACAAAAGUGACAAGUCAUCAGUCAAAAGGCUACUAUACUUACACAUAAAUACGGAUAAACAAGGGCAUUUCAUUUACCUUAGGAGCUGGUCGGCCUAACUUAAAGGCAUGCAUCCGGUCAUCACUGCGAACAAAGUUAUUAUCAGUUAGGUUGAAUAACUCGUUCAUCAACCGCUGGACCUCUCACUUUUCCAAACCGUCCCGGUGCAUCCUGGUCGGGUCUUGGCUUCCUACGUACUCGUACGCCGAGUGCACCCUCCUCUGGCAAGGCAUCACUCGUCGGAUGAGGAAGUUCCCGACCACCCCUGGCCCGUCCAAGCGGGACCAGUCGAUCAGGUCCAUCAACUCUGACACCUGACCGUUGUACUCGGGGUGAUCUAUCCAGCUGACCCUCUUCUCAGGAAUAUACCCGACAUCGCAAAAAGUGGCGCUGCCCGGCUCUUCCCAAAUGUAGAACCACCUCUUGUACCACUCGGUGAGAGAGGUGUUCCAUGGGCAACUAAGGUAACGGUUUUUCAUCCCGUCACGAAGAUUGAGGUAUACUCCACCUACAAUCUUGGAGCCUCCAACUACUCCUUUCUUCCUCAAACAGAACAAGUAGCGGAAGAGAUCAAAGUGCGGCUCUAUCCCGACAUAGGCCUCGCACAAAUGAAUAAAAGUGGAAACAAGAAGAAUGGAGUUCGGGUGCAGGUUGCAGAUCCCGAUCUCAUAGUACAAAAGAAGGCCUUGAAGGAAUGGAUGAACUAGAAUCCCAAACCCCCUCUUGAAAAAAUCUUCAAAAACUACAAUCUCACCAGCGCGAGGGUCGGGGUAACUUUCCCCUUCUGGUGCUCUCCAGCCGCUAAGCUCUUGAUUGUGCAGGAGUCCCAUCUUGACGAGGUCAUUGAGAGAUCUCGUGUUGCUCCGGGACUUCUUCCACUCCUUGGCCAUCAUCUCGGCCCUCUUCUUGGCGUCGCUCUUUGCCAUUUCCUUCUUGUGGAAAUCCUUGAGCUCGGAUGUGGGGGAUUGAAGGUGUUGAGGACGACGAAGGCUGGGCAAAAGUAUGUGGCUGCUGGGUACAGAACAAGGGUGCGACCUUGGGCUUUUUAUAACAACAGCUCCACCUCUACCACUUCCCGCAUUUUGGGGAAGUGGGCGGUCUUUUCGGCGGUUGUGGCGUUUCGGUUUUCAGGAGCUACCGCAGUAAAUUUGGUGGCCGUUUUUUAAUAAUUGCUAGUUUCCUUUCAUGAUACCCACAAUGAGUGGAUGUACAGUUAACAGGCUCACCUUUUUAUGCAACAGCCUGACAAUAUGGCAGGACGCUCUGUCACAUCACACAUUAAUACGGCGAUACAGUUUUUUCAAAAAGAAAAGUAGGACCUUUGGUCACACAAACAUGAUAUAAUUGGGGACUGUACCAACCACCGAGCAUGACAUGCUCGGGGACUGGUCGACCAGUCUGCACAUUUCGACAUCCUGGGGACUGUACCGAACACCGAGCAUGACAUGCUCGGGGACUGGUCGACUAGUCGGCCCAUUCGACAUCCUGGGGACUGUAUCGACCACCGAGCAUGACAUGCUCGGGGACUGGUCGACUAGUCUACCCAUUCGACAUCCUGGGGACUGUACCAACCACCGAGCAUGACAUGCUCUGGGACUGGUCGACUAGUCUGCCCAUUCGACAUCCUGGGGACUGUACCGACCACCGAGCAUGGUAUGCUCGGGGACUGGUCGACCAGUCUGCCCUCUCGACAACCUGUUGACUACUCCGACCACCGAGCACGUCAUACUCAGAGACUGGCCGAUUAUCUCAUCUUUCGAAAGUCUGGGGACUGUGCCAAACCUCGAGCAUGACACACUCAGGGACUGGUUAAUCGGUUCGCUCAGACACAAAUAAGUGCAACACGAUCUUGGCAUUGAAAAAUCAAAUUGUAUAACGGCUGCUCGGAUAAUUCUAAUUUUUUAGACCUUGCUACAAGGCUCAUGCUUUGCCUUCCAGCAAGCUCGGGGACUAUAUCGGUACGAUGCAUCUGGCGAUGCAUUUCAGUAUCAGGUUUUCUAUGUGGUUUUUCUCUUUAGAUCCUGGCACCACGUGCCUACGUCACCUACUACCAGGCUCGGGGACUAAGUGGGCACACUUCAGCUUGUGGUGAACAUGCUUGCUUUUUGAAAGUCUAUACUUUUCAGAAAAGUAAAGUGGGCACACUUCAUUCGGAAAGAAAUCUUUUUUGAUUAAGAGCACCGUGCAUUCUUCGAACAACAUGCUUCUUCGAUGUCGAUGAUGAUCAACUGUCUUUUGAGUUGGUCAAAAUACCGUUGCAACUGUUUGGGCGACUUUCCUACUUAUUGAAGACGUCAAGGCUCACUUGUCGAAGAAGCUCAAGAUGGCGUGUUGCAUCACAAUACACGGUGCUCGGGGACUAGCUGUGGGGGUAUAAACCCCUAUACCCUUACAGCUAGACUUGGGCCAGGAGACUUGGCCCAUUACGAGAUGAGUUUGAGGCUUGAUCCAACUACUCGGAGUUUUGCACAAGGAAACAAGACGUGGAGAUCAAGCCAGAUUCUAGUCGGUUAGAAUAGGAAUUGAUAUCCUACUAUCUAUGGCAAUUGUAACCGACUAGGAUUAGCUUCCAGAUUUGUAACCCUGCCCUCUAGACUAUAUAAGGAGAGGCAAGGGACCCCCUAGAGAAUUCCUCUCAACUCACACAAUCCAAUACAAUCAGACGCAGGACGUAGGUAUUACGCCAACACGGUGGCCGAACCUGGAUAAAAUCCUUGUCUGUGUCUUGCGUCACCAUCGAGUUCGUAGCUUGCACACCUGUCUGCCAAUAAACUACUACUGUGGGUGUGGGGGUAUAAACCCCUAUACCCUUACGGCUAGACUUGGGCCAGGAGACUUGGCCCAUUACGAAGACAGUCCGAGGUUUGAUCCAACUGCUUGGAGUUUCGUGCAAGGAAACAAGACGUGGAGAUCAAGCCGGAUUCUAGUCGGUUAGAAUAAGAAUUGAUAUCGUGCUAUCUGUGGCAAUUGUAACCGACUAGGAUUAGUUUCUAGAUUUGUAACCCUGCCCUCUGGACUAUAUAAGGAGAGGCAAGGGACCACCCUAGGGCACAUUAUUAUCUCAAAACAAAUCAAUACAAUCAGACGCAGGACGUAUGUACUACGCCCACACGGCGGCUUAACCUGGAUAAAAAGCUUGUUUGUGUCUUGCGUCACCAUCGAGUUUGUAGCUUGCGCACCGUCUACCGAUAAACUACUACCGUGGGUAUACCCCAAGGUAGACUGCCGACUAGCUUUCGUCGACAGUGGCACGCCAGGUAGGGGGUGUGCGUGCAGCUCUCUCAACGAACAAGAUGGUCAUCGUUCCAGCUUCCGCUGCCGUGCCUGAAGGCCUCACGUUCACUGUCGGCCAGAUCACGUGGACGACUCAUGGCGGCGGCCUCACGACCACGACUUCGGAAGAAACCCAGAUCCGAAAUGGGACGACAGGGGCGUCGAUUCCGAUCACGCCGGCACCGAGCACUCAACCUCCGCUCCCUCGUUAUAAGGGAAAAAAUGUCGACGACUCGGAUCUUUUCCGAGCCCUUGAUCAUGCCGAUCUCUGGCUUCUUGAAGCUUCACGACUGGUAGAUGGGAUCUCACGCCGAUUUGAUCAAGUCACGCCGACAGACUCUUUUGACUCUUGCCGGCCAACUCGUGUCAUCACACACGAACAGCUGGGGACGUCUCUGACAAUGACGUCCACCCCCACGGGGCGGUCCGUCGAGUUCAAGGCAGACCCAGACCAGAGUCCUCCCUACGGACUAAACAACUCGGCCGUUCACUACUCACGGCACAUCCAAUCCCUUUUCAACAGGGCGGGUUGGUCGCCGAGACAGAGCAGUCGACCAGCUCGCCAUUACGUCAAUAUGGUGUCAAUCCAAGUACUACCGAACGACCAGGCUUCCAGCACGAACUCCAGCACAGGGUCCAUCCCCACCGAGGUUAUAAACUCUGAGGACGAAGAUUACGACCUGGAUUUACCACCGUAUCCUCUAGGCUUUUCUCGCUUCCCAGUCUUUCCACCUCGGCGGGGAGAUUUUAUCUUCAAUGUCAGCAACGACGAACCGGUCGUCGAUGAAGAAACAGACGAGCAGAAGCAGCUCCGCGAACAGCGCAAUGCCGACCGUGCUCGGCGACGCGCGGAUGAGGAACGGCAAUUUGUGCCGCAUAUCCUCAGUGACGCUUUCGACAUGGUCGGAGAUCAGCAAGUCUAUAAAACGCCAAAUGCUAACGUGGCUGUUGCUAUGGCAAACCUGGACCGACUCCCUGAUACUCCUGAGUGCCAGGGCAUCCGAUCCAGUAUACGCGCACACCUGAUCACCGCGAUGGGACAGACAGCCACCUUACUCAAAAGGGUCUAAGCUAUCUCCUACACAGAGGUCUCUUCCGACCAGACUCAUCGCAGCCGGACAUCACCACAACCCAGCGAGCGCCACCGUAGCCGCUCCCCCAAUAAUCGCAGGAAGGAUGCGGGGCGUGACAACCGUGGUUGGGACACCGGUGGCUACCGCGACCAGAAGCAUGGGCGUGGUCAGGAAGUAAGCCAGGACAGGGAUCUAUGAUACAACAUCCCUCCCAAGGACGCCCGGGACCGUAUCAACAGGCGCGCCACGGAAAGAGCGGUGCACGAAAACCUGUGGCGCAUUGAGUACGAUGCCGCGCAUGGCCCCCCCGGCCUAAGACAGUUUUCUUCACACCUUCGCCAAGUCGUAUGGCCCCGCAACUUCGAACUCGAGAAGCUUAAAAAAUACGACGGCAAAGAAAACCUAGAAAAUUGGAUCACUCUCUACGAGAUUGCAGUCCGGUCAGCAGCAGGAGAUGAGCACGUCAUGGCUAACUACUUCCCAGUUGUCCUCGACCAGGCUGGUCAUCAGUGGCUCCUUGGCCUGCCCGAGGACUCUUUUGACUCUUGGGAAGAACUGCGCCAGGCGUUUAUCGAUAAUUUCAUCGCAACCUACGAGCAACAUAGGAACAAGUACGACCUCGAGAGAAUAAGGGACAGGAAAAACGAACCUCUGCGCGAUUACAUCCGACGAUUCUCGGAUAUGCGUCUUAAAAUUCCAAAAAUUUCUCACGACGAGGCCAUAUCGGCUUUCAUCAAAGGGCUAUGCUUCCACGAAGCAUUGAGGAACAAGCUACUGCGCAAAAGCCCGACCACGAUGGCCGAGCUCCUUGCCACGGCAAAAAAACUAUGCUACCGCCGAUGACGCAGAAAAGCUCAUCUGAGAGGAUGCGAGAGGUCCCGACUAGCCUCCUCGACGGGACGACAGUCGUGGUUGUUUUGGCAACAGGAACCAUCGUCGCCCUGACAACCGCGACCAUAGAGAAGGUUGGGAUAGGCGGUGUGACAAUCGCGAUGACUUUAGGGGCAAGCGCCCUCGCGACCACGACCACGAGGUGAAUACGGUCAAGCGCCCCAAUGGGCGGUGAGACUACCAGAAAGAUUACAACAAGACGUUGAAGGGACCGUGCCAACUCCACCCCAAGUCCAAUCACACGAUGGAAGAAUGUCGUGUCCUCAAAAGCAUCUACACGCAGCGGGCUGCUUAAGACGAUUCUGCCAAGAAAAACGGGAAGCAGGUCGGACGUGGUCACGAAGACGAAGACGACGACCAGGAUAGGGACCCACGACACUAGUAUGUCAGUCCCACCAAUGUGGUCCACUCCAUCUUCGGAGGCAAAGUUUCCAUCGAGUCUAAGCGAGAAAGAAAGCUCCUGAAGAGAGCCUGCCUCAACAUGGACAGCACAGACGGUCUGAUCGCCGAUCCAAAAUUUCCUCCCUGGUCGCACAGGGAGAUCUCCUUCAGCAGGAAGGAUCAAUGGGCCGCCAUCCCGGAGCCAGGACGUUUCCCUCUAAUCCUGGAUCCUUGCAUCAACAGCGUCAGAUUCGAGCGCGUGCUCGUUGACAGGGGAUGCUCCAUCAACAUCCUCUUUCGCAACAGCUUGCCUGCUCUCAAGAUAACCCCGGCACAACUAAAGCCGUAUGACGCUCAAUUCUGGGGACUUCUGCUAGGUCAAAGUUCAGUACCCCUCGGACAGAUAACAUUGCCUGUCCAAUUUGGAACACCUGACCACUUUCAAACAGAAUUUGACAACUUUAUGGUCGCCGACUUUGACGGCACUUACCAUGCAAUUCUAGGCCGACCAUCGCUGACAAAGUUCAUGGCAGUUCCACACUAUUCAUACCUGGUCCUCAAAAUGCCAACAGAGAAGGGCGUCCUAACUGUCAGAGGCAAUGUCUAUACCGCAUACACUUGCGAGGAGGAAAGCUUCAAGAUCACCGAGGCAAUUGACCUCUCAAUCCGCAUGGCAGAAACCGUAGCCCAAGCCACGCAGCUUCCACCUGACUAGCUUCGACUACCCGAGCAGGAGACUCCGAGGAAAAAUUCAAAGUCCAAAGAGCACAAGGAGGUACAGUUGGUCGAUGGCAGCCCCGAGAAGACGGCGCUCAUCGGGGCCAACCUGGACCCUAAAUAGGAAGACGCGCUCGUCAGGUUUCUAAGGGACAACGUGAGCGUUUUCGCAUGGAAACCCGUAGACAUGCUCGGCGUCCCACGAAACCUGAUCGAGCACUCCUUAAACAUCUCGAAGUCCGCAAGACCCAUCAAGCAAAAGCUACGACGGUUCGCUCGUGACAAAAAGGAGGCUAUUAGGACAGAAAUAACGCGGCUUCUAGCAGCCGGAUUCAUUAAAGAAGUGUAUCAUCCCGAUUGGCUUGCCAAUCCGGUUCUUGUAAGAAAAAAGAACAAUGAAUGGAGAAUGUGCGUUGAUUACACUGAUCUCAAUAAACACUGUCCUAAAGAUCCUUUUGGUCUCCCUCGCAUCGACGAGGUGGUCGACUCAACGGCCGGAUGCAAACUCCUCUCCUUUCUAGAUUGCUACUCUGGUUAUCACCAGAUCUCAAUAAAGGAAGACGACCAGAUCAAAACAUCUUUUAUCACUCCUUUCGGUGCGUAUUGCUACAUGAUCAUGUCCUUCAGACUCAAAAAUGCUAGAGCCACUUAUCAACAGGCUAUUCAGCAAUGCGUCCACGACGAGAUUCGUGAUAACCUCGUCGAGGCUUAUGUAGACGACGUCGUUGUCAAAACAAGGGACACGAGCACUCUAAUUGACAACCUAGACCGAACCUUUAAGGCACUAAAUAAAUACAAGAGGAAGCUUAACCCCAAAAAGUGUAUCUUUGGGGUCCCCUCUGGUCUACUACUCGGCAACGUCGUCAGCCGCGACGGCAUACGACCGAAUCCCUCAAAAGUAAAAGCAGUGCUCGACAUGCGACCACCAAAGAAUGUCAUGGAUAUUCAAAAGCUCACCAGAUGUAUGGCUGCUCUCAGCCGUUUUAUCUCUAGACCGGGAGAAAAAGGCCUCCCCUUCUUCAAACUCCUAAAGGCGUCGAAAAAAUUCUCCUAGACAGAGGAAGCCAACACUGCUUUCACCCAGCUCAAACCUUUCCUCACCUCACCACCUGUACUCACAGCACCUCAACCCAACGAGGACCUGCUCCUUUACAUAGCGGCAAUCGAUAGGGUUGUCUCCACGGCAAUGGUGGUCGAGCGGGAUGAGCCAGGCCACGUAUACAAAGUCCAGAGACCCGUUUACUUCAUAAGCAAAGUCCUAAAUGAGUCCAAGACCAAGUACCCUCAGAUACAAAAGCUCAUCUAUGCCAUCUUAAUAACUUCAAGGAAGCUGAAGCAUUACUUCGAUGGUCAUCGGGUCUUGGUAACCACUAGUUUCCCCCUGGGGGACAUUUUGCGCAACAAGGACGCCAACGGCAGAAUUGUAAAAUGCGCAAUGGAAUUAUACCCAUUCUCCCUGGAUUUCCAGAGCCGCACUACCGUCAAGUCCCUGGCCCUGGUCGAUUUCAUCGCAGAAUGGACGGACCUCAACGAACCUCCCCUCUCGGACACUUCCGACCACUGGUCAAUGUUCUUCGACGGGUCCUUAAACAUCAAUGGCGCCGGCGCCGGAAUACUCUUCGUGACACCUAACAAGGACAAACUACGCUAUGUCAUUAGGAUCCUCUUUCCGGCGUCGAACAACGUCACUGAAUAUGAAGCAUGCCUACAUGGCAUACGACUGGCUGUCGAAUUGGGAGUCAAACGCCUUUACGUCCAUGGCGACUCUGCCUUGGUCAUCAACCAGCUUAACAAAGAAUGGGACACAACCCACGAAAAGAUGGACCUCUACUGUAAAGAAAUUCGCAAAUGGGAAUCCAAUUUCUACGGCAUAGAAUACAUCCACGUGGUCCGAGAUAGGAACCAGGCAGCGGAUGCGUUGUCAAAGUUAGGAUCAUCUCGGGCCCAGAUUCCACAAGGCAUUUUUGUCCAUGACAUCCACGCACCAAGUGUGGGUACAGACCUGGUCGAAAAGCAACCCAAUGAGGCAAUGCUCAUAGGCGACACCACUCCGGCAACCAGCAACCGUGAUUGGCGCGCCCCCUUCAUCAGGUAUAUAUCGGAUGGAUCGGGUUUACAAGAUAACACGGAAAACGAGCGCCUCAUUCGACGGUCCAAGUAUUACAUACUGGUUAAUGGCAAACUUAUGUGAAAGAACGCAAGUUCCAAAGUGUUGCUCAAAUGCAUAUCCCAAGAUGACGGCGUCAAGCUCUUAGAUGACAUACACGCCGGGUCCUGCGGCAACCACGUGGCCUCCAGAACACUGGUCGGGAAGGCCUUCCGAGCAGGUUUUUACUGGCCAACUGCGGUCGCCGACGCCGAGAAACUGGUCCGACAUUGUGAAGGACGCCAGUUCUUUGCCAAGAGGACCCACGUGCCUGCUCACAAAAUUCAAACUAUUCCGUCGUCCUGGCCUUUUGCCUGCUGGGGUCUCGACAUGAUCGGGCCAUUUAAGCCGGCCCCCGGCAACUUCAAGUUUGUCUUCGUACUAAUCGACAAAUUCUCGAAGUGGAUCGAGUACAUGCCACUUGUCAAAGCAACCUCCGAGAAGGUUGUGGAGUUCCUCAAUCAAAUCAUACACAGAUUCCGGAUCCCCAAUAGCAUAAUCACUGACCUAGGCACUCAGUUCACUGACACUACAUUCUGGGAUUUCUGUGAUGACAGGGGCAUAGUCAUAAAGUAUGUGUCAGUAGCUCACCCACGGGCCAACGGUCAAGUAGAGCGAGCGAAUGGAAUGAUUAUCGAUGCUCUAAAGAAAAGGUUGUACACCGAGAACGACAGAGCACUAGGGCGAUGGAUGAAAGAGUUACCGGCUGUGGUCUGGGGUCUCCGAACACAGUCUAGUCGCAAACGGGUGUAUCACCCUACUUCAUGGUUUACGGCACCGAAGUAGUGCUUCCGUUCGACGUAACCUUUGGAUCUCCAAGAGUCAAAAAUUUCGACUAGUCUUCGGCCGACAUCGCCAGGGAGCUUGAAAUCAACUACAUGGAACAAAAAGCGCCUAAUCUCAUGCCUUCGAACAGCAAAGUAUCUCGAAGCCAUUAGGCGGUAUCACAACAGGAACGUCAAACACCGCUCCUUCGUGGUCGGUGAUCUGGUACUCAAGUGUAAAACAAGCCAAGAAGGAACGCACAAGUUAUCCACACCUUGGGAAGGACCCUUUGUGGUCGCCGAAGUCACACGCCCUACAUCUUACAGACUGGCAUACCCAGACAGAACACGCCUGCCUAAUUCUUGGCACAUAGACAAACUGCGCCGUUUCUAUCCAUAAGUUCCAGUACUUUUCGUUUGUAAAUUUCUUAUGAUUAGCAAUAAUAAAAUCUUUUCUUUUUCGCUAUAUACCUUUUUACACGCAGAACUUUCGACAAGUGCAACAAUCUCCUUCUAGGACCAAGAUCCUUAAGGAUUAUUAACCCGACUCAGUGGUACAUCACUCAGACAACGUUGCAGCGCUCAAAACAAUAGUUAUGACAGAUCAAUGUUUAUUACAAACUUUAUAUCAAAGUUAACAAUAAACACCCAUCUGGGCGGUCCCUAGUCUAUUCCUACAAACUACUCUACAGGCCUACUACUCGGGCUGAUCACCCGCAUGGCCCUACCGUCCAGUCGAAGGGGUCGGGGCCACUGGCGCCUGGCUGGUCAAGACCGCAGGUGUUGACCACCCAUCUCCGGCAAUGGAUGCUCCCGACAACUCCCUGGCCGACCUAUCUGACCCGGGCUGGUCGGGGGGAGUUGCUGUCCCGCAGAGGUUGAUGUCGCCGAUCACUGUCGACGACAGAUCAAGCAGACCAACACGAAGGUCGUCUGCCUCCUGCGGACCAACCUCCUUGGGGUACCCCCUCUCUAGUCGGGACAGGUCGACCAGAGGAUAGUUGGCGCGCACCAUGCUGAGGACGUGCGCACCGGCAAAUUCCCCGGCGUCCUUGACAAACUGCUGGAGCCAGUCCCACGCCCGUUGCGCCUUCUCGACCGGAGUCAGCUUCGGUGUGCGGGGCUGGUCUUCAGGGACCUCGGGGCUGAUCAAAUCAAGAACUGGGGCAACUCCUUUCCAAAGCUUGAUGCAGUUGGCCUUCCAGGAGUCCCGGUCCUUGAUUAGCUCGUCGAGGUGCUUCUUGGUAUUUACUUUGAGCACUGUGAACCAAGCAGGAAGUCAGUGCACACACAAGACAAGGAACAUUGAGCAAUCAAAGAAGAGGGUAACACGGUUCUUACCAGUCAACUCCCGACUCUUGUUGCUUAACUCCUCACCAGUUCGGCGCCCCGCCUCCAGCGCGCCGGCACGCUCUUGGUCGAGCCUCUCCUUUUCUUGUCAGAGGCGCGCUACCUCCUCCUCCAAGUCUGCAGGAGCAAUUUCUGGUCAACAAAAACGACUAUGUGGUUAUAUACAGCUGCUCGGAAUACAUGACUGACCUUUUCUUUCCCGAUCCUUGUCGGCCAACCGCCGAUUGAGAUCGAGCAGGCGCUCUUCCUGAGCACCCAUCUCGGCCGUCUUCUCCUCGGCCUCCGACCGAAGACGGUCUACCUCCGCGGACAGGGCCUUGUUCUCGGCCACGAUCCCCUCAAUCUGGUCGAAGCACCUUUUCCGGUACUUCACCAUUUUCAUUGCGCCCUAUAGGAAUCACACAUUAAAGUAAGCAACAGUGCAUAUACAUCUCGGGCAGAGUGCAAGACCACUUACCUUAACCUCGUCAACAAGACGCUUGGCUGCGCGCUCCACCCUCGCGGCCUCCUCCGUCUCCGCGAGUUCUUCAUGACCACUGAAAUGGUCCCCACGUUGGCGCCACACGUAAACGUGUUGGCGACCAUCAUGGGGACGGCCUUGGAUUUCUUCUACUUCGUCGUCGGAGGCCGCUCGAGUCUCUUCGCCCUCCGCGCUACCCCGAGCCGCGGUCACAGGUAUUACCGGACCCUGAUCUCGGCUAGGGGAGCCCUUUGGUGAAGAGGCCUCUACUCGGGGUGGAGUCGGGACCCUCCUCCUUUUAGAAGGCUGGGUAGUCGGAGCUCUGUUGUCCUCCUCCGCGACACUCCUCGGGGGAGGCAUCCUCGUAGUCUCAUCACCCCUUACAUGGGUGCUCGCUCGGGUCCUCGCCGGAGCCGGGAGCUCCUCGGCACUUUCAGCCGCGGUCACCACCACGGGCUGCUCCUCGGGUUGCUCCUGGGCGGCCUGCUGCGCUGCGUCCUCGACAACAGCCGUCGGCUCGGCUGUCCUCUUUCCAGCGACGUUGUCGGGAUCAACGUCAGACGCCGCACUAACAGAAAUAUGGAAUUUUACCAAUGUCAAAUGCUGUAGUAACAAACGCAAAAACAAUAAUAAUGAUAGGAGAAUGUGUCAAGACGAGAUUGUUCUACUUACAGAUCGGAGCGCCUAUGCGUCGCUGUAAAGACCCUCCUCCUGGUCCUACCGGCCGCCGCCGCUGCCUCUGUCGCCCCAAGAUGCGCUAGCUCAGUGUGAGGGGCAGGGGGGUCACUAGUCGCCCGAUCGCUAGUGAUUGGCGCGACGUCCGGAUGACUGCGCGACCUUCGGACCAAAGAGGGCGCGGCCUCCUCUUCCUCUUCAUCGUCGUCGGCGAUCCUGACGAGCCGACAACGCUUUGGAGCUUGGCUGCUCUCUCCGGGCAGCGCCUCUGGAGGGGACGGAUCCACCGCCAGUUGCCUUUUCCCCGCUACACUGUCCUCGGUGGUCGGGGCGGGGUGGUUCUGCUCCUCCUCACUGCUGGUGUAUUGAGGACACGAGCAGCGUCGCCCUCUGGCGGGUCCAUCCCUGCAGGAUUUUCCAUCCCAGGUGCCAGUGACACAUACACUGCGCACCGGUCAACGUCUCCAAUCUGCGAUUGAACCAACGACAAGUCAUCAACUAGUAGUCAACAGUAUUCAUAUAACAAUACUAGUCAAUAACAAAAUUUAUUUACCUUAGGAGCUGGUCGUCCUAGAUUGAAGGCAUGCAUCCGAUCACUGCUUCGAACGAAGUUGUCAUCUGUUAAGUUGAACAGCUCGUUCAUCAGUUGCUGCACCUCCGCCUUCUCCAGACCAUCGGGGCUCAUCCUGGUCGGGUCCUGGCUGCCCGCAUACUCGUACGCCAAAUGUACCCUCCUUUGCCAGGGCAUCACAUGACGCACAAUGAAGUUCCCGACCAAUCCUGGCCCGUCUAGGCGGGACCAGUCGAUCAGGCUCAUCAGGUCUCCUACUUGCCCAGCGAAUUCUGGGCGGUCUGUCCAACUAACCCUCUUCUCGGGGAUGUAGCCCAUGUCGCAGAACGUGGCGCUGCCCGGCUCCUCCCUAAUGUAGAACCACUUCUUGUACCAUUCGGUCAAAGAGGUGUUCCAUGGGCAGCUGAGAUACCGGUUCUUCAUCCCAUCACGUAGAUUGAGGUAUACUCCACCUGCAAUCUUGGAGCCUCCAACUGCCCCCUUCUUCCUCAGACAAAAAAGAUAACAAAAAAGGUCGAAGUUCGGCUCUAUUCCAACAUAAGCCUCGCACAAAUGAAUGAAGGUGGAGAUGAGAAGAAUAGAGUUCGGGUGCAGGUUCCAGAUCCCGAUCUCAUAGUAAAGAAGAAGGCCCUGGAGGAAAGGGUGGACAGGAAUCCCAGAGCCCCUCUUGAAAUAAUCUUCAAAAACUACAAUCUCACCAACACGGGGGUCGGGGUAGCUUUCCCCUUCCGGCGCCCUCCAGCCGUCGAGCUCUUGGUUGUGAAGUAGGCCCAUUCCGACGAGGUCGUUGAGGGACCUCGUGCUGCUCCGGGACUUCUUCCACUCCUUCACCAUCAGAUCGGCCCUUUUCUUCAAGUCACUCUUCGCCAUUCACGCUGUAGGAACGACUACGAGCUGGGCGAUUAAAGAUGGAGGUUGCAGAAGGCAGGAAUGGCAAGAACAGAAGGUUUGAAGGCAAAGGCAGGGUAAAGAUUACGAGCGUUGUGUUGAGCCUUUUAUAAUAAUAGCUCCACCCCUUCCACUUCCUGCAUUCUAGGGAAGUGGGCGGGCCCUGCGGCGGAUGCGGCGUUUCGGUUUUCAAUAAUUACCGGCAGUUAAUACGGUGGCUUUUCUAUAUAAUUGGUGGUUUCCCUUUCUUGAACCACGCAAAGAGCGGCUGCACAGUUACCCGGCGCACCUUUUCACGCAACCGUCUGACAAUACGUCAGGGUGCCUUGUCACAUCACGAAUUAAUGCGGCGAGAUGCUUUUUCAAGAGACAAGUAUAUUCGGUGGAAAAUUGUGUAUGACAGUCCUGGGGAUUGUGAAAGGAUCAAGAUGCCCAAGAGGGGGGGGUGAAUUGGGCUUCUCUAAAAAUUUAAGCAACCUAUAAGCUCCAAUUUCACCCCUUGUGCCUAGUGUGACCUAGAGAACUACCGGAUAGAAGUUUUGCAACCUAGUUCCAAUCCUAUUCUAGCAAGGCAAUUCUAAGAAUGUAAAAACACAAAGUAAAUGCUAGAAUGUAAAGGAGUAGUGGAAGUGCUCGGCGAUGUUUUGCCGAGGUAUCGGAGAGUCACCACUCUCCACUAGUCCUCAUUGGAGCACCCGCGCAAGGGUCUUGCUCCCCCUUGAUCCGCGCAAGAACCAAGUGCUCUCUAUGGGCUGAUUCUUUGACACUCCGUCGCGGUGAAUCACCCAAAACCGCUCACAAGCUUGACACGAGCCACCCACAAGAACUCCGGGCGGUCUUCGUGUCUCCAAUCACCACCGAACCGUCUAGGUGAUGGCGAUCACCAAGAGUAUACCAUCAUCAUUGGCCACAAUCACCUGAGGUCCCACCUCUGGAUACACGGGUACAGGGCGAGGAAUAGGGUGUAGCAAGUUAUUGAGACGGUGAAUCUCCACAAGACCAGCCUCAAUCUGAUCCUGCAGAUAGUUCUCACGCUCAAGCGACUGAAUCCGGUGCAUCUCCCAUGCACGGCGCCUGUUCUCCGACACACGGAGCGCAGUAUCCCUCUCACGAGUGACCUACACCAAGCGCUCCUGCAUGGUCUCCCCCUCUCUAGCUAACUGACUCAUCUGAUCCUGCUUAUGAUCUCUCUCUCUAAUGGCCUUCACCCACUGCUGCCUACGAUACUCCGCAAUGUCUUCCCAGUCAUUGCGGUCCUUCUGAGCUUGCUCCAGGAGUCUAGCUUGCUUGCGAAACUUGCGAGUAUGCUUUUCAGCCUUCUGUUGCAUCUCCUGAGCCUGGCGAACAGCCACCAUCACCUGUGCAUAAGUGUCCUUUCGCUGACUGAACAGCUUGAGCACAGCCAUCAUAGCACUCAAAGCAGGACUAGAACUCUCAGCUCGCUCUCCCUGCCUCGGACCAACGCACAACCAUCAACCUGCUUCCACUCCGCUGCUACUGGGUCAGCAUGGGGAAUGGAGGCUGCUGGCCCUCCUGUCAGCUCAUCACCAAACCUGUGACAGAUAUUGAGCAGCAUAGCUGGGCUGCAACCUGAGCUGCUUCCGAAGGAGUCUGCCCGUCAGAGUUGCAGGUCCAUCCUGUCCAUGCAGGCUUGCCCCCAUGUGGCGGAACAACUCCCUGCACAGCAAACCACUAAACACCUCCCGUCAUGUCCACCUCCCACCAGGAAUACUGAGAUGGCUCAGUAUACCCUACAGACUGUAGCACACUCCAGAGCAAAGUAGGGGUGCCAAACUCGCUCAAAAAGGUGUCACUGGGGCGAGGUGAAGCGGGCACGUCCAUCUGUGGAAAGGAAUAACCGUGGGUAUAAGAGGAUUAAUUUAAGCAACAAUUAUUUAAUUAAAAGGGGUGGCAUUGUAAGGGAAGGAGUAGACAGAAUAUAUGUAUGAAUGCGACAUGAUGCAUGCGCGAACCGCACGUCCUCACAAACUCAGAAAAUUAAUAUUCUAACGGAUAUACGGUGGCAUACAUUCGUCUCUCGAUACGAUAACUAUCGAUUUAUACACACGCUAUUAGAGUACCUACAGAAAACUUCAUUGCAGCCCAACAAUUCUCAAUAUAUCACUCAAGAAAGCAGUAAACUAAAUGCACAUUGCUUAUACAUGCCCAACAUGCACAAACAAUGACACCACAGCCAACCAAGAAAUUAAAUGCUCCCCAAUUAAGUUUCUUUUGUGGUUCCAUGGUUGGACAUGUAACCACUCUAGAAAACCACCGCGAACACUCCCCUAGACCGCCGUUUGGACGAUCAUGCUCUCACAGCUCACACUUACCAGAUCGUAGGUGCGACGUUGCAUAAUUUAAAUCUAGCGACAUAUGUGGCUAAUUCACAUAUGAAGGCUACCUCUACCAUUAGACCACAUGGUAGCAUAGUGCGGUCAUCACACAUCCAUACGUGAGUACUGCCGGAGAUGCAUAAAUAAAACCCCCCAAGUCAGUACUUAAAUAGCCACCUAUAAUCCUUAUAUGGGCAAGGAGGAUUCGACCACUGACAUAUUUAAGUGUUGAUUUUCACAAUUUUUAUUUAAAAAUUCUUUUUGUUUUUAAAUACACAAACGCUGCAUUUAUAAUGCUGAACUUGCUCCGAUGCCAGCUGUCACAGAACCGACCAAAUUAUAAGAGUUCAAGUGUAGAAACGAUCGACAAGCAAUCAAGUUUCCAAACUUGAGCCCAUAUAAUCCCGGUAGUCAACUGAAAUCACGAAGGACUUCAAACCAACUUGCCACAAACUAAGAUCGUAAUAGUUCAACAUAACACAGCGAUUGUUACAUAAUCAUUCAUUGCCGUCGAAGCGGCACCACAUCGGAGUUACUUAGUUAUCAACACAUGUUUGAAGUAGCGGAAGCAAAAUAGUUACACACACUUUCCCAAAGUUCAUUUCAUAAGUUCUUGUUCAGCCAGGGUCUCAUGUCAUCCAUCCAAAAGCAACUGAUACGAAGUAGUUAGAGAACCGUGCCCAACGGUUUAGUCCUCAUCCCCAGCGGGAUGGAGACAGGUCUUGCAGAAGCCAUCAUAAAAGAUAUCAUCUGCAACAGGUGGGAUUAAACCCUGAGUACGAGGAUGUACUCAGCUAGACUUACCCGUCUAGUAAAACAUAAAAGACUCCAAGGAUCAUGCAAGGCUAAGUAUAAAGUGGAGCUGGUUGACUCAACAGUUUCCAAAAGCUUAAUUGAAAGCUACAAUGUUGUGAGGGCAUCAUAUUAAUCAUCAUUAGCCUACCACUAGAUUAGCACCUGUACUAAAGCACAUCACUUUAUUAUUACAAGCAAUAAUAACCUUAUCAAGCUCAUCAUAUACUCUUUCUUGCUAUCCUCAUUAUCACGAACCAAAGUUCAUUAGUGAAUGUUACGUUUGCCGCUGCUCUGUCAAGUUCUCACUAUCCGGGAGAGACAGAGAUUCGAAUCAAUUCCUAUCCAGCUGGAGGGUUAUUUCUAGCACUCACCCAAGCAUCCCCCAUCGGAGAGCGAGCGGGUCACCUUUGGUACGACUCAGGAAUCGCGGCUCCGAUCAGCGCCGCACUCCCAGGGCUACCACUCUGCCAGGGAGGUUAGGAAUUUUAACUCACCUGCCUUUGGUCUUACGCCAAUGGUCCCCCGCACACCGCACUUCCUCCGGUAGUGCGCACUUUAUACUUGCCGGUCUUCCGGCCUGGGUCAUACUACUAGGCUUCGCGGUCGGAACGAGUUAUCCGGCCAACUAAGUGUUAGGCAUGCGUUCAAUAUGACAAGAGGACGUACAACGAUCGGUCCUUAGCUGCCACAGACGGAGUUACUACAACCUUGCAAAACUCCGCCCGGCUUAAGUCAAGUUAAUCAGGUUCUUUUCACGAUAGCACAUAUAGACAAUUGUGAUCCGACUCAACCCUAUCUCACGCAGGUGACAGGAUAUCACCCGACUUCUACCGGUUAAAGCAUGUCUAAGCCACUACUCGAUCCUAACUCUAUAACCAGGUAGUGGUAAUAUAUCUGGACAAGGAUUGAGUAAAAUGCAGCAAGGGUUUCAUCACAACUCCUAUACGUAAUGCAUCAAUAGAUAUAACAUAAUCAAGUAAGCUUUCGAAAUUAAAGUGGGAGACUUAAGAUGCUCCGGGGCUUGCCUUUCACGAACGAGGCUGGCUCGUGAUUCGGCACUCAACUUCCUCUUCGGGAUCCUCGAGUCCGGCUUGCUGGACCUCCGUCUCAGAGUUGCCCUCCUGGCCUUCGGGGUUCACUUGAAGCUCGAAAGAGGCUGUCGCGUCCGAUGCACCUAUUGCAUGCUCGAUGAAUAAGAAGGUGUGCUUACUAAAGGAUGAAUGCUUGAUAACGUAAUUAGACUCACUGGGCACUUAUUUACAGAAUAACUGUUAUAACAAGUUCACACAAGAUGAUGAGUUAACUUAGCCAAAACCUAUCAAGUUAACCUAUAAACAGCAAGCAUCACAUAACAGAACAUCUCAGUAAACAGGUCAUAACUAUUGCUAUAAAGACCUAAUAAACAUAAAUGAGAACAUUCUGGAAAGCAUAUGAAAUUGUCUACAAUUCAUCUUUAAACAUCACAGCAAGACUCAUAAGUUAAACAAGUCAUUUAAACAAAGUUCCAGGUUCUGUCCUAGAAAAACAGAGAACACUUAUUUCUGGAACCCAACUUGGAAGAGCUAUAACUUUUAAACUAUUGGGCCAAAUGAUCCCAAAUUUAAACCACAGCUAGUUCAUAAAGUUUACAACAACUUUGAGUUAGACAAGUAUUCCAGAAAACCAAGUUAUCAUUAAGCAAAAGUUAGACUACUUCCUUGCUGUCCAGAACAGCUUUUAACCCUUAAUUAAUUAUUUGAUGACAUAGCCAAAGCAUAAACAGUGCCAACCAAAUAGCUUAAGCACAAGUAUAUCAUAAGAUAACCAGAACAUCAUAUGUUAACCCCUAGACAUUUAAUAACAAAGCAUUUAUCAAUUUAAUUCUAUAAAAGGACAUAAUUACAAGGUACUAGCAAAAGUGCUCAGAAAAAUCUAUAAAAUUUGCAGAAGUACAGGCAUAGCAGUUGGACAUCACCAUAAAAUUUUCAGAGCAAAUGCACAUGCCAAAUUCAAGAUAAGCAUUUAACAUGUGGCAAGGUGCUUAUUUCACAAAUUAAGAAAUAUGGCUUAUAUAGUGUCAAACAACAGAUUUCAGAUUAUUUACAUGUUACCAAUACCAUAAACAAGUUUGACACCAAAGUAGAGCACCAUCAUAAGCACCAAUUAUUUACUAUGAUUUAAAUAAGAAAACAAGCCAUAUUACCACCAUAAAUUACAUAUCACAGAUAUAGUACUCCAAAACUCAUGAAAUAUGUAUCAUAGCAUUCUCGUAACACCUAGAGCCUAGCAUAAAAAUUUCAUAGCAAGAUGAGUAGUAUAUCAAGAGAUAUGGAUUUACUCAAGAAUAACAAGAUUAAAUCUUAAUAAUUAUUUUUCCGUGAAAACAUAGUCCAUUUUAUAUUUUUAUUAAAAACUAGCCAUCUCAAGGAACAUCACAAAAUUGGUUUCUCAAUUUUUGGAUCUCAGAAACAGAAGAUAUGAUUUUUCCAAGAAAGCCAAAAAUCUGGAUUUGAAUAAAAGAAAAGGAGGGAAACGUCAUGUCACUGACAGCGGACCCCACACGUCAGGUUCUUCUUCCUCAUGACCGAGACGACGUUCACCGGUGAUUUCUCCGCGACGGGGAGGUCUCCGGCCAAACCAAGGGCACCAACGUGAUCCCCAGACCUUUGCGAACCGAUUGACCCCCUUUUCCCCACGGCGGAGCCACCGGAAGGGGCUUGCCGUCGAUCAUGGCGGCUCGGCAGAGGUGCUCGGCGUUACGCCGGAGCUCUCAGGCCGGUAGAGCGCGACCUAGGGUUUCCUACACCACCAGCGGACUACAGCGAAGCUUCCUAGGUAGGCGACUUGGCUUGAAACGGGGUGGAAUGAGCUGGCCACGAGAGGACCGAACUCCGGCGGAAACACGGCGGCGCUGCGCGUCGUGUCCGGCGACGGUGACCACGGUAGAGCGUCCGCCAAGUGGCGCAAACGCUUGCUAAGGACCUAAGCUACCUCUAGGACCUAACCAGAGAAGACGAGAGGCUCCGAGGAGCUCGACAUUGAGUUCGCCGGAGAAGAAAGUCACGGCGACCCGAUUUGGGGGAAAAAAAGGAAAUGUCGGCUCACCGGAGGAUUUCAUGGCGAGUUAGUGGGUGGACGAUGGAGAGCGGGCCACGGCGGAGCCGUGGAUGAGUUUUGGUGGACAGCAACGCAGCGAGGAGUGCGUACGAGCUUGCCGGAGUGAGCUCGCGAUGGUGAGCUCACUGUGGCCGCGUUUCUGGCGAGAGAGGGCGAGGCAGAAGGAAAUGGACGCGUCCACUUCGCUCGGGGUGUCGCCGUGGAGGUCAUGCGGUGUCCGGAGCUGACGAGCGGGGCCAGAAACAACAUACGGAUGCCAAAUAUCGUCGUUGCUCUGCCGCCGGUCGGCCACGUUGACGAGCUCGGUUCUGAUUGAGACAAAACGAUGACCGACUGAUAGAGCUACUUUGACAACGAUUAUCUCCCAAACCAAAACGAAUUAGAAGAUGGUGUAGUUGUCAAAGUUGGAGUACUAGCUGAGUUCUACAACAUUGUCAACUGGAGCAAGAGCUAGAUCGGCAUGGUUUGAAAGAUAUGAAGUUUUCAAAAUCGAUAAAGCAAACUGCAGCGUCCCUAGACUUAGAAAAUUUUUCUAAGUGUUGGAAACAACCCCAAAUCUGCCUUGUGGGUCACUUUAGAGCAAGAUGUGUUCAUUUUCAUGAGAUGGCCAUUAAACAACUUUUGUUCCUUAUAAAAUUUGCUACAACUUUACUGUAGAAAGUUUUGACAUGCAAACUAUUUAUGAAACACUUUUUAAAAGCCUAAGCAAAAAGGGUUUCUAGUGCCUAUACAUGUAAGUAUGACUUAAGUGAUUAUUUUGGAGAAGUGAUCAACAUGAACAUUGUUCCUAAGGUUGAGUUAAGCAUAGAUAAACUAUUUAGCAAGGCAUAGCACACAAGCAUGAGCAUGGUUCACACAAACCUAAGCAUAGGAAGCAUGAUUAAACAAAUUAAAGGACACUUAAGCAUAAAAUGACAUGGCUCAAGGUAGAUGAUGAUCAUGAUGUGCUUGAGUAGAUGAUGAUGCUCGUGUUAUGCAUGUGAUUUAUGCAACCAUAACACUGGGGUGUUACAGGCUCAGUGUGCAUGACAGACUUGGUGACCAGGUUGGGUACUUUCCCAGGAACCAAGAGGAGCUUGAAGAGAUGGCAAUUGCUCGAGUUCCCAAUGAGUUCAUAUUUUGCAGGGAUGCUAAUAGCUAUCGAGUGGAGUCAAGGGAAUGUCGUCGCCCAUCGGCAAGGCAGCCGCAACUUCCUUCGUGGUGUCUAGAGGGAUUGACUAGGACACAGAAAAGAAGGCUGCAGCGCGAAAGGCGAGAAGACUUGAGCAAGGGAGAGAAUUCUGGCAAAUCUGGAGAUCAGCAGCUGGACCCUAAAGGGAAAGGACCAUUGGCAGAUGUUAACAUAGUAUUUAUGUUGCCGAUGGAGUUCCUUGCGCCGUCCAGUGAUGAUGAGGAGUUGGAUUUUUCCGACCAGAUAGUUCAGUUGGCUCUAGAUCCGAUGAUAGCUAUCUUUGAAAAGCUUGCCGACAAUGAAAGGCAACAUCUUAAUGCCUUGUUCGUCAAAGGAAGAGUUGAUGGGCAGCCGAUGACCAAGAUAUUACUUGAUGGUGGGGCUGCUAUUAAUAUCAUGCCAUAUGCAGUCUAUCGGAAACUUGGGAAAGGAGAUCAAGAUUUGACCAAGACCGAUAUGAUGCUAAAGGACUUUGAAGGAAAUGUGUCUCCGGUUAAGGGGGCAAUAUGUGUCGAGUUGACCAUCGGCAGCAAAACCUUGCCGACGACAUUCUUUGUGAUCAGUGGAAAGGGUGCUUAUAAUAUGCUACUAGGGAGAGAUUGGAUCCAUGCCAACUGUUGCAUCCCAUCAACAACGCAUCAAUGCUUGGUUCAGUGGGUAGGUGACAAGAUUGAGAUUGCCCCGGGAGAUUCUUCUUACGUCAUCGCAUCAGCAGAAGCAGAUACCUAUGAAAGGACCAGGUGCAUCUCAGGAGAGAUUUGGGAGAAGGAUUUCCUCAAAGUUGUCGAUUAUGAAAUUCUACCGAUCCAAGCAGUCGGUUCUGAUGAGGAGUUUUAAUGGAUAGAUUCGCCGAUGAUGGAAAAUUAGGCUAGGGGUUUACAUCAGCUGAUGAUUUAGUAGAAGUAGACAUAGGUAAUGGUGAUAAGCCUAGACCUACUUUUAUUAGUGCUAAGUUAAAUUCUGAGUGUAAGCAACAGUUAACCGAUUUGUUAAAGGAAUAUAAAGAUUGCUUUGCUUGGGAUUAUACUGAGAUGCCUGGUUUAGACCGAUCAAUUGUUGAACAUCGGUUGCCUAUCAAGUCUGGAUUUCUGCCACAUCAGCCGCCAGCUCGCCAAUGUAAUCCUAAUAUUCUUCCUGAUAUUAAGGCCGAAAUAACGAAACCUAUCGAAGCUAAAUUUAUUCGGCAGUUUCGGUAUGCCGAAUGGAUUUCCAAUGUUGUUCCAGUUUACAAGAAAAAUGGGAAGCUUCGAGUUUGCAUUGAUUUUAGAAAUCUUAACAAGGCUACACCGAUGGAUGGCUACCCAAUGCUAGUUGCCGAUUUGCUGGUUGAUGCUGCUGUUGGACAUCGAAUUAUUAGCUUCAUGGAUGGCAAUGCAGGAUAUAAUCAGAUAUUCAUGGCUAAGGAAGAUAUUCCGAAGACUGCAUUUAGAUGUCCUGGUCAUGUUGGGCUGUUUGAAUGGAUAGUCAUGACCUUUGGCUUGAAAAAUGCUGGUGCUACCUAUCAAAGAGCUAUGAAUUUUAUCUUUCAUGAGUUCAUAAGCAAGCUGGUAGAAAUUUACAUUGAUGAUGUGGUGGUUAAGUCGGGAAAUUUCACAAAGCAUCUUGCCGAUGUGCGAAAAGUGUUGGAAUGCACAAGGAAACAUGGUUUAAAGAUGAAUCCUAACAAAUGUGCAUUUGGUGUGUCGGCAGGGUAGUUUCUUGGUUUCAUGGUACAUCAGAGGGGGAUUGAAAUUAGCAGAAGAUCUAUUGAUGCUAUCAAUAAGAUAGUUGCCCCUACCAACAAAACUGAACUCCAGUCCUUGAUCGGCAAGGUAAAUUUUAUCAGGCGAUUUAUAUCUAAUUUGUCUGGUAAAAUUCGUGCUUUCAGUCCUUUUCUUAAAUUGAAAGCUGGUCAAGAGUUUAUAUGCGGAGAAGAGCAACAGUUGGCCUUGGAUGAAGUCAAGGAUUAUUUGACAAAUCCUCUAGUCUUGAUUUCACCCCGGCAAGGAAAGCCCUUCAGAUUAUAUUUGUCUACCGAUGGAAUGGUCAUCGGUUUGGCUUUGAUUCAAGAAUUUGAAGGGAAGGAGCGUGUAAUUUAUUAUUUAAGUAGAAGAUUGAUUGAUGCUGAGACCAGGUAUUCGGCCAUUGAAAAAUUAUGUUUAUGCCUAUAUUUUUCUUGCAUUAAGUUGAGGCACUAUUUGCUAUCGGCCGAAUGCACUGUUCUAUGCAAAGACGAUGUGGUCCGAUAUAUGCUGUCUAUACCGACUAUGAGUGGUAGAAUCGGUAAGUGGAUUUUGGCACUGUCGGAAUUCGAUCUACGUUACGAACCGGCUAAAGCGGUUAAAGGGCAGAUUAUGGCCGAUUUUGUGACUCAACAUCGCAGUGUAGUGGAGACCUUGGAGAUUGUGCCUUGGACGCUCUUCUUUGAUGGAUCCACGUGUGACCGGGGCGCAGGAAUCGACAUAGUGUUAAUUUCCCCUCAGGGAAGGAAGUAUGAGUUCACUUUGCCGAUUGUUGCCACGUCAACGAAUAAUCAAGCCGAGUAUCAAGCUUUGAUCAAGGGGAUGGAAUUGUUAAAAGAAGUUCAUGCUGAUGCUGUGGAAAUCUUCGGGGAUUCUAUGCUGGUUAUAAAUCAAUUGGCUAGAAGUUAUGAAUGCAGAUGUGAAGUCCUGAUAAUUUAUUACGAGAAAAGUAUGCGACUAUUAAAAGAGUUCAAGGAUUUCUGAUUAGAGCAUGUUUCUCGGUUACAUAAUGAGGAAGCUAAUCGGUUGGCUUAGCAUGCCUCGGGAUAUCAACCCAUAUUAAACACGUUAUCGGCAAUCAGUGCCGAUGAUUGGAGAAAAGAGAUCAUUGAUUAUUUGAGGGAUCCAUCCGAAAGGUUUGAAAGACGUAUUAGGUUUCAAGCUACCAAGUAUGUGCUCCUUGAGGAUGAAUUAUAUUAUCGAACUAUAGAUGGAGUUCUUCUCAAAUGUUUGGGUAAUGAUGAAGCUAAAAAUUUGAUGGGUGAAAUCCAUGAAGGAGUAUGUGGAGCACAUCAGUCGGCUUUUAAGAUGAAAUGGAUGAUCAGGAGAAAUGGGUAUUAUUGGCCGACCAUACUUGAGGUUUGUUUUAAAUAUUUCAAAGGAUGUCAAGGAUGUCAGAAAUUUGGCAAUAUUCAAAGGGCACCUGCAUCGGCCAUGAAUCCCAUUAUUAAACCUUGGCCGUUCUGGGGAUAGGCAAUUGAUCUGAUUAGCCAGAUUUACCCACCAUCGAGCAAAGGGCAUAAGUUCAUUUUAGUUGCCACUGAUUAUUUUACUAAGUGGGUUGAAGCUAUUCCUUGGAAGAAAGUUACAUCGGCCAAUAUGAUUGAUUUUGUGAGAGAGCAUAUUAUUUAUCGAUUUGGUAUUCCUCAAACAAUUACUACCGAUUAGGGUACUAUGUUUACAUUGGGAGAGUUUGAUGAAUUUGCAAUCGGUAUGGGGAUUAAAGUGUUGAAUUCUUCUCCUUGUUAUGCUCAAGCUAAUAGGUAGGCCGAAGCAUCUAACAAAGAAAUUAUUAAACUCAUCAAACGGAAGAUUGAAGAAUAUCCUAGGAGGUGGCAUACAUUAUUAAGUGAAGCUUUAUGGUCGUAUCGGAUGGCAUGUCAUGGCUCGCCUAAAGUUUCACCUUAUCAACUAGUGUAUGGACACGAUGCAGUGCUGCCGUGGGAAAUUAAGACCGGAUCUAGGCGACUAUCUUUUCAAGAUCAGCUGGCUGCCGAUGAUUAUGUUACUUUGAUGAAAGACGAGUUGGAUGAUUUAUCAGGGCAUCGGUUGAACGCUUUGAUGAGUAUAGAAGAAAAUAAAAAGAGAGUCGCCAGAUGGUACGAUAAAAGGGUAAAGGCUAAGGAGUUUGCUGAUGGAGAUAUGGUAUGGAAAUUGAUAUUACCGAUUGGGACUAAAAGUUCAAAGUUUGGCAAGUGGUCUCCCAAUUGGGAAGGUCCUUAUCGGAUAAGUCGGUCUGCUCCUGGUAAUGCUUAUAUUUUGGAAACUCUCGAAGGAGUUGAAUUUUCUAGAGCAUUGAAUGGAAAGUAUUUGAAGAAAUAUUACCCAAGCAUAUGGGUCGAUGCAUAAAAGUUUAAGUGCUGAUAACAUUCCUAUCGGCUGGAUUAAAGUGUGUACGAUGUUUCAAGAAAUGCCGACAACAGUCCUAUCGGCUAGACCAAAAUAAUCAGCAGUUUUGAAGAAAAAGCAGAACAUGACGUCGAUGAAGAGUUCAUACAUUCAGUAGGGCUUGGAUGGCCGAUAUAGCGCGUAGAUGAAUUUGAUCGGCUUCUUCUAUCUCCUUGAUAUCUUCAUCGGUAGAGCCUUCCACCGGUUUCAGCUUCUUCUUCAUCUGCAGUGCCUUGCAAGCUUGGACGUUUCGCUCUUGUUCGAGGGUCUUGAUCGUCUCGGGCAGCUGACUUUCUUCCUGUUGAGCUUGGGACAGAGCUUCUUCUACUUGUUUGAGCUCUGCCAACAGGGCUUCCCUUUUUGCCGAUAGGUCGGAGAUCUUUUGUUUCAGCACAUCUCCUGAGGAUUUCAGAAUGCCAAUGCUCUUGUGUUUUUCAUCGGCAAGAUGCUUUACCUUCAUUACCUCCUCUGAAAGCUGGGCAUGAGCGGCUCUAUCGGCAAGGCGCUGAGUGGCCUUUUGGUAUUGGAGCUGUCGACUCUCCAAAUGUGCAGCCUUGAAGAGGGUUUCCUCGACAUCGGCAGGGAUUUAGCCUCUGAGAGCUUUAAAUAGAGCCUUGGCUGGGUCGGAAUCAUCAACCAGUUGGGCUGUAUCCUGAUAGAGCAGGACCAACAAAUCCUCCAGCUUUGCUCUGAUUUCUGCUGAUGACAUCCCGAUUGCUUGAGAAGAACUUGCUUCCUUGCCUUCAUCUUCGGAAAUUUCGAUGGCGAAGGAGAACAGGCUGUCUAGAGAAUCUUGUUCCUGAAAAGGAGAUAGGUUAUUUGAUGAUGAAAUAUUAGUAAAAUAAAGGAUGAUAAUCAAAUAGCUUACUUGUUUCAGAGCUAUCUCUUGCCUCUGGCUGGUUGAGGCUGAUGGUACUACAGGUUGAUCGGCCGGAGUUGCCGAUGGGACGAUGUCAGCUGAAAAAUAAACAGGGACAAUUAUAAAGUGGAAAAAUAGGUCCAUCGGCAAUAAUUUCAUAAAUAGCGCUUUACCUUGAGGGGGUGUGAUGCUUGUCUGAAUUGAGGAGACCACCGAUGCUAUGAUUGAACCUACUGGAUCAGCGGUCUGCUCAUGUACAUCGCCUGAUGUCUCUUCUGGCUGAGGUUCUUCUUCUGGCUGAGGUUCUUCUUGUGGCUGAGGUGGAGACAGUACUUAUUUUGUCUGAGCUUCUGGCAAAGAAGGAGAUGAUUCCACGUGAAUCGGUGACCCUAGAGGAGGGGGAGGAGGUGUUGCUGUUUUCUGACGCUUUGCUUGUGACUUGGUACUCUUGGGGCCCUUUCUCUUAGUUUGGCUGACCUGGGGGGCAUCGGCACUUAUCUUGGAACUUCUGGCCUUUACUGAUUUGCCGGAUUGCUAAUACAACAACAAAAGUUUCGUAAGUACAAGCGUGAUAAGGAGUUGAUGAAAUUCUGGUUGGAAUAGUAAAAUUUACCGAUGAUGUUCCCAUAGCAGUCGAUGUAAAUUGAAUAAGUCAGGAAUCUAGCUUGAAGUAUGGAAUGGAAUCGGUAUAAGUUGAAUAAGUUAAGAAUCUAGCUUGAAAGCUUGAGCUAGAGCAGUAGCAGCUACCGAUGGGGACGUCUUCGCACAUCUGGUGGUAAUUUUCUUGAAACGCACACCCCGGUGCAUCAAAGCUGCCAAGCACAUUGUUACCAAUCAGAGAGAUCGGACCCGAUGGAAGGAGCUCGAUCGGCCUUCCGCUCCUGCUGACUGUUGAUGGUGUAUCAUCGACCUGAUUAAAAAGAGAAGAAGUGAGUUACCGAUGAAAAUAAGAGUAAUAUAAGAAGAUUGAAGCAUCGGUUGAAAACUUAUAGUGUUCUCGGGAAUUUUGUACUUGGGGUCGAUCAUGCCGCGGUAUGUGAGGGCCGAUCCGCAGAACAGGUGUUCUUUCCAUUCCUCCCACCACUACUUGUAUGCCUGGGUGAUGAAGAGAGCCGGAAUCCAAGCCGAUAGAUCGACAUCUGUAUCAGCAUUUGGUGGAAGUUGAGCUAUUCUGAUCCACUCGAGACCGCUGGUUAUGGUUUCCCUUGGUUUCACCACAUCGGCGUAGCAGAGCGCAAUCAGCAGCUGUCCAAAGGCUAGUUGGUGAGCUAGUGCUGAUGGGUUAUAGAACUCAUAAGUCAGAUUGGAGGCUUUCCCACUACCAAAGAAAUUCACUGGUGUAGCUCUUGGAGUGAUAAUUGCCAUCAUUAGAUCAUGGUCCUUGUUGAGAGCAUUGUCAAAGGGAUGAAAAGUCAAAGGAAAUCUGGUGUCUGGAUCCUCAUAAGGCAUCCAUGAUCGCUGCUCUCUGGCCAGACCCUCAUAAAGAGUCUGAAAGAAUCGGCUAACCUGAUCUUCAUUGCCUCCAGUGCCAGGUAAGACUAUGGCAGCUUCACCAUAGUUCAGAGGGGAAUGAGUUGCCGAUUCUUCUUCAUCCAACUCAUGGUCUUCAGCUAUAUCUCUGGGGAAGCGCUGUGCAAAGAGGUCAAAUCCAAGGCGCUUAUGCAUGUGGAUACUAAGCCACAUAUUGAUGAACCACCAGGGUCCCCCUAAGUUGCCGAUGGGUUGGCCUAGCAGGACUUUCUUAGCUACCUGGUGGAGGAGGUGGUAAACAGAGCCGAGCAAAUAUUGGCCAAGAGGAAAUCGGCCACCAUUGGCUAGUCUUUCUGCUGCCGAUAGAUAGACAGAGGUUGGUCCUGCCGAUCGGCCACAGAACACAAACUUAUCCAACCACAUGUUUAGGAAAAUUGCCUGCUCCCUUUCCCCGACAGGUCCUGUCUUUCGGUACUUCUGAAUGUAUCUAGACCAACCGCCGAUAGCGCGAGUUUCUACUUUAGAACUGGGCUUGGUGUCAAACAGGUGACUGUUAUCGACAGUGGAUAUGUCUAAGCCGGUGAGCAUAAGUACAUCGGCAAGAGUGGGUGAAGCAGGGCCAUGGCCGAAUACAAAAGCAUUGAGCGUGUCUGACCAAAAAUACGAGGCAACUAUCAGCACUGACUCGUUUCUCUUCAUCUUGGCAAGAGAUAAUCUGAUGCACUGGUCUAAUUUCCACUCACCCCACUGGACUUCAUUUGAAUGGCUGACUCUCAGGAACCAGUCUUUCCAUCCCUUGGUGGGACUAGGCCAGGAACGAAAGGCAUCUUUCCACAGAUCUAAGGAAAAUUUUUUGGCUCUGAAGGGGAUUCUAUUUGUCUCUGCGUUUAAUAGAUCGGUGGGAUCUGGAUUUCCUAACGGGCCGAGACAUUGGAAGUGAGGUUGAUCGGUGGGAAUUACAAUCUUAUGAGCUAAGUCCUAAAGGGUUUUGAGGAUGAAAGAACAAAAAGAAAAAAAGGGGUACUCAGUAAAAGGAAUCGCAGAUGAAUAGGAGUACAGCAAAAGUGUGAAAAGAAAAAAGAUGGGAGACUGACCUCAGGAACGACGAAGUUGAUGACCAUUUCUUCACGAGGAAGAGGAUCGAAGACUUGGAGGAUUGGUGAAGGAGGCUCUUGCUGAAGUUCUUGGAACUCUUGGGCUAUUGCUCCACGGACCUAAAGGAUCAAGGAUAACCGUUCAAUCAAUGUCGGUUUGAUCCAAUGGCCCAUAUUCACUUGAAUGGACUAUUAAACCAGACCCCCUGGCCCCUGGAGAUCAUACCUCUUCUACGGAAUCAAAGUUAGGGUUUCAAUUCUUCAUCCAAGUAGAGAGGAUCCCUCUAGUUCUUCUAGUUCUACCUCUAGUUCAUCUAGAUCUUGUUCUAGUUCAUCUAGUUCUAGUUCUAGUUCCUCUAGUUCUAGUUCUAGUUAGUUCUAGUUGUAAUCUAGAAAAUAGGGAGAGAGAAGAGGAGAGCGGAGGAGGAGCCGGAUCUGUCGGAUCUUCCUCAACAUUAUACUUUUGCAGCAUCUGGUUCGUUCUUCAUCGUUCUCCAGGUUAUUCAAUUCAUAAUUCCUGAGUUCUUUAAUUACUUUUAUUUACAUUCAACUUAUUUAUUGGAUUCCCGCUUGCAUCAAGUGCUCUAGUCUUUAUAACGCUAGAGUAGUAAUUAAUAGAUUAGACGUGGUGUUUAGUCUUGCAAUUACCUGGAAUUGCACCCAAUGCUGCGGAUUGUUGUGGUAGCCUUAGGGUAGUGACAGCCCUAACGGUCGACGUAUUCCACCACGUUCAGAUCGGUGUUUGUAGGACCGUAGUCAAACCUUCCUAGCCCCCUUCUCAUCUCUUUCUGUGGUUAGUGCUCUGAUGUCCUGAUAUAGAUAAUCUUGAAGUAAUUCUUGAUUCUUAGAUCAACUAGAGAACUCUUAGGAAACUUCCUCUCUUCCCACCAAAAAUAAUUAUAUAGUUAUCCUUGGGCGAUCAUGAUUCUUAAUUAGUACACUCACAUUCUCUGUGGAAAAUUGAUACUCUGGAAUACUCCCGGGUGAAGGCUACAUCGCUAUCCGUGCGCUUGCGGAUUUUUCUGUUUGCGUUUAAAAUACCCAACAAGCUUUCUGGCGCCGUUGCGGGGAACGGUAGCUGUGCUAGUUUCGAACCAAGUCAUCCGUGUAUCCUUUUUCUUUUCCUUUUUUUACCACACUCACCUUACCAUUUUCACCACACCACAUGGAUUUCACUCUAAGCAUUAAUGAGCAUGGAAUUUAUUUCAUAGCCACUUCAUUUACUCCAUGCUCAUAUGCAACAUCUUCACAAUCCAUUGGUCUCUCCAACAUCACCACAUUCGAGAUCUCCAACCCCCUCUUCCUUUCUAUUUAUAAAAACUUUAAAAGGGCGGUUGUCGAUGCAUAUGUCUAUAAUAAAUUUUGCAGAUCUCGUUGAGUUGAUCUUGAUAUAGGUCAGCGUUGGAGGGGAAACCACUUCGCCAACAUAAAUUGAUGGUUUCCCAAGGACAAGCUUAGUGUCCUAAAACAAGCACUGAUCAGAUUGUAACAUGAGCUUUUAAUUAUUUGCAACAUUACCUUGUGUGUGGGGCAUAUAAGGAUAAUUGUAAAAAUAUCACAUCGGGUAUUCUUGUCACUAACCUUUCCAGGAUUGGAGCAAGAAGAUCGGAUGAAUGACAAGCACAAGGUAUGUCCAACCAAUCACCAUACAACAUUGAAUUAAAUUCAUCCAAACUUGAAUUUUGCAAAAUUCAAGCUUGGGGGAGUAUUUUACAUAAAAACAUCAUUUGGCAUGUUGCUAUGUUGGUUGUCCCUACCAUUAAGACAUGCUCAAUCUGUUAAAAACUAAUCACACUACUUCAUCUCCACUUGAGUAGAACUCUAUAAAUGCUUUCAUGCUACCUUUAUUUGCUUUAGUAUAUGUCUAGGUUUGGAGUAGUUUCAUUUAUCUCUUAAUUAAGCAUGGUGCUUAGUUUAGGGCUGAUGAUUUUACUUCCAAGGGAGUGUUGACGGUCCUUAAUGCUCACAUUUAACCAUCAACUAAUCAUGGAAAAGGAUCUAAAUGGAACCAACACCUAGACUUAGGGUUUUAUCUGACAGAAUUCCACGAGUUUUGGUGUUUGUCUAUUUCUGCGGGGGGUUAUCAGGAAAUACGGAGGAAAGGCCCACACGUCGGGUUUACAUAGAGAUAUUAACGUGCUGCGCAAUUAUCUUACAUCUAGAAGACUCCAGAAGCCACGAGACCGAAGCGGAGGCGAAACGAGGCCAGAGACUGGGCGCCCGCCCUGUCCUACUGGGCGCCCGCCCACCUCCUGAGUCCAAUCAGGACUCUGCUUUGCGGGAGAUCUCCACCGACCUAAAGGAUCAAGGAUAACCGUUCAAUCUAAGUCGGUUUGAUCCAACGGCCCAUAUUCACUUGAAGGGACUAUAAAACCAGACCCCCCUGGCCCCUGGAGAUCAUACCUCUUCUACAGAAUCAAAGCUAGGGUUUCAAUUCUUCAUCCAAGUAGAGAGGAUCCCUCUAGUUCAUCUAGUUCUAGUUCUAGUUCCUCUAGUUCUAGUUCUAGUUAGUUCUAGUUGUAAUCUAGAAAAUAGGGAGAGAGAAGAGGAGAGCGGAGGAGCCGGAUCUGUCGGAUCUUCCUCAACAUUAUACUUUUGCAGCAUCUGGUUCGUUCUUCAUCGUUCUCCAGGUUCUUCAAUUCAUAAUUCCUGAGUUCUUUAAUUACUUUUAUUUACAUUCAACUUAUUUAUUGGAUUCCCGCUUGCAUCAAGUGCUCUAGUCUUUAUAACGCUAGAGUAGUAAUUAAUAGAUUAGGCGUGGUGUUUAGUCUUGCAAUUACCUGGAAUUGCACCCAAUGCUGCGGAUUGUUGUGGUAGCCUUAGGGUAGUGACAGCCCUAACGGUCGACGUAUUCCACCAUGUUCAGAUCGGUGUUUGUAGGACCGUAGUCAAACCUUCCUAGCCCCCUUCUCAUCUCUUUCUGUGGUUAGUGCUCUGAUGUCCUGAUAUAGAUAAUCUUGAAGUAAUUCUUGAUUCUUAGAUCAACUAGAGAACUCUUAGGAAACUUCCUCUCUUCCCACCAAAAAUAAUUAUAUAGUUAUCCUUGGGCGAUCUUGGAUCUUAAUUAGUACACUCACAUUCUCUGUGGAAAAUCGAUACUCUGGAAUACUCCCGGGUGAAAGCUACAUCGCUAUCCGUGCGCUUGCGGAUUUUUCUGUUUGCGUUUAAAAUACCCAACAAGCUUUCUGGCGCCGUUGCGGGGAGCGGUAGCUGUGCUAGUUUCGAACCAAGUCGUCCGUGUAUCCUUUUUCUUUUCCUUUUUUUACCACACUCACCUUACCAUUUUCACCACACCACAUGGAUUUCACUCUAAGCAUUAAUGAGCAUGGAAUUUAUUUCAUAGCCACUUCAUUUACUCCAUGCUCAUAUGCAACAUCUUCACAAUCCAUUGGUCUCUCCAACAUCACCACAUUCGAGAUCUCCAACCCCCACUUCCUUUCUAUUCAUAAAAACUUUAAAAGGGCGGUUGUCGAUGCAUAUGUCUAUAAUAAAUUUUGCAGAUCUCGUUGAGUUGAUCUUGAUAUAGGUCAGCGUUGGAGGGGAAACCACUUCACUGACAUAAAUUGAUGGUUUCCCAAGGACAAGCUUAGCGUCCUAAAAUAAGCACUGAUCAGAUCGUAACAUAAGCUUUUAAUUAUUUGCAACACUACCUUGUGUAUUGAGCAUAUAAGGAUAAUUGUAAAAAUAUUCCUUCGGGUAUUCUUGUCACUAACCUUUGCAGGAUUGGAGCAAGAAGAUCGGAUGAAUGACAAGCACAAGGAAAACUUUCAAUAUCGACCUGGGAAGUCCUGAGAUAAACUCACAUUGGAGACAAAGAGAGAGACACAUAAAGUUUACUAAUUUACACAAGGAAGGCAUAGCUCACAAGAGAUGAUUCAUGGAGGGUGCCACAAACACGAUGCACAACCGCUAAGAAAGGAAAGCUUCCACAAGGUGAUACUGUACCAUCACUCUUCAAGUAAGGUAACAUCUUAAGGUACUUGACUAUCACUUCUAUAAGCUUUUCCUUGGUUCUGGCAUUCACAUGAAUAAAAGAGACAAACAUGUAUGAUUUACAACUUUAGAUUAAUCAACCCAAUCGAUUCAACAUGUUUAGUCUUUCUACCUUCGUGAUCCCACACUCCUAAUCAUAUAAGCUAAAACGUUUCACAUUCAAUCUUUGGAAGAUAUAAACAAAACAUAAGUAUACAUAGAUUAUCUUUCCAUUAGGUUGAGCGAUGUGAUCUGACAAAUGUUUUAAAUAUUACACUCAUGAUCUUAUUAUCCAUCAACUUGGUCUUGCUCAUUAUGCUUAAGGAUAGAGAAGAAUAAAUACACUUUUGGUUCUGUUGGUGUUUUCCACCAACAGGGCCCAUGCACUUGAUCUCUGCCUUGUCUCUAUGAGCAGGUACACUUUAAGCAAAACAUGGAAGAGUUUUACAACACCCAGACUCCACCAAGUGAAGAACCUAGAUCUACGAGCACAAACACACUGGAGAGACUGGACACUCAGGCAAUCACUGCCCUAAGAUGCUUGAGGACGUAACUACUGGAGUAACCCAUGGAAGUAAUUACUGACCUUCUGCCGGUCAAGAGAGACAAUCCAGGACGCCCCGUCAUCCCGAUCUCCAUCAGGCAUGGUGGACUUCCUAGAAGCACUCUGUGACUAUGGCUCCAGCAUCAACAUUAUGCCCAGGGUACUCUAUGAAAAAUUCUUUACACAUCCUUUACUAGAAACAACCAUGUGUUUGCAGCUUGCAGAUCAGACACUAAGUUUCCCAAAGGGAAUAUUGAAGAACCUCUGCGUCUGAGUUGGUACCUUGUACGCCCCAGCAGACUUCGUGGUGAUAGAGACUGGUACUGAUGAGAGGGCACCCAUCCUAGGGAGGCCAUUCCUGAACACCUCAGGAGCUGUCAUCUACGCUAGUGCUGCCAAGAUCAAUUUCUACAACAAGGGGAGGAAGGAGACGUUUUCCUUCAAGAACAAGACUACACAAAUCUCAGAGCAAUCCCGACAUGAACCCAGGAAGAGGAUCAACAGGGGGAGCAGGAACAAGCAAAUGUGGACUGAGUCAGCUAAGAUGGUCACUGCAGCUCAACGAGGUCAAGAUCGUCGACUUAAGUCACCGUUCCUGACCAAAAAGGAUGCCGCAAUCACUUAACAGCUCCUGCAUGGAACCAUGUCCCUACAACCAACAUACAUUCAGCUCCAGAUGAUUUUAAGGUUAUUGACAUAGGAGAAGACAAGUACGAUCCAUCCAUCAUCCUUAGGAGACCGUUCCUCAGCACCGCUAAAGCAAUCAUCUACAUUGGAAUCGGAGAAGUCCACAUGCACUUCCCCUCUGAGAAGGUACGCUGCUAUUUUACUGACCCUAAUUAUAUAGUUGAAGACUCUAAGCAGGUCAGGGCAAGAAGAAUACGACGCAACCGCAACUAGAGGAGGCAAAUCAUCAAGGACGGAUGGGCAGACUAUGAAGGAGAAGUCGUAAGGUCUGAAGACAUACAGCUUGAACAGAACUAUCCUGAGGAGACCGUAGCACCGAGUCAGGUGUGCAGAAAGAAGAUAGUUAUACACGAAGAGCAGGCGCCGCCGGAACCACCGACUACGCCAUCCAGCGAAUCCCAAGACGACUGAGAAAACGGAGAAUCCCGUUCGGAGGACUUAAAAACACCGAACGUCUUGCCAAGAGGUAAACUUGGUAGUUAUCCUUUUCUUUUCAAUUAUCUUAAAAUAGUUUGCUUAGUUAAUCAGGUUCAUAUCAUCUCGAAAAGAAAAUAAAAAUGUUAAAAAUAGUAAGCCCCAUGUGAGUAUGCUCAUGGCAUAAAACCCAUAAGUACAUUCACUGUGGUGGCAUAAAAAUAAAAUAAAUAUAUUCCUGUCCUAUAAAAAUAAAAUUAUAAAAAUAGAUUUAUGAUCCCACUAAAAAGUGUAAUAUUUAUUGAGGAGACUCAACAUGAUAAAGGCUAGAUAUUUAUGCUAACACUUAACUAGUUCCACAAGCUUUGUUGUCUAUUUGAGCUCCACAGAAUUCAAGGAUCAAAGAAGACUAGCAGACGGAGGACAUUCUAGUCGCCGUCAGGGUGCUGCUGACAUUCAAAUAUACCUUCGCCACCUGCUAGCUACAUCAGAAGGAAUUACGUCAAAAUCCAGCUUGGGGGAGAGCACCUCCAUUUAUCCAGCUAAGUAUUCUACUCACGUUUAUAUUUUACUCAAAUAAUAAAAAGAUGCAUAAUCGUAAAAACCCAAAUAAAGAUUUUGUGCUUAUAUAUAUAUCUUUGCUUAGUUUGCUAAAUAAAUAAAUAAAUAAAAUUUGCUAUGAACCCUCAUGAUAAGCUCUCACAUGGAAAUGAUGAAUAGUUGCUCUACCAUAAUUAGUUCUCAAAAUUGAAAUCUCUCUCAAGUUUAGGCAUGACUAUUAUUAAUUAAGAUUUGCUCUAAACCUGAACUUGUGGGAAGAGUACUUGAUCUGAAGUCUAAGUCGUUAACGGAUAUGAUAUGGGAAGGUUGAGCUGCUGUUUAUCUGUUCCUAGAGAUGCUAGAAUUCUGGAGAAUUUUAUCUUUGAAAAUCUUUAAAAUGUUGCAUGAUGAGUUCCUGUAUGAUGAGAGUUUAAAUUCCUACCACAGCCAUAUAUACAUGCUUGCUAGACUUUGAGCCACACAUUUACUUUUUACUGCUUAUGAGCAUUGAGUGUGGUCAAGCUGUGUAGACCCUUAGGAACUUGUCAUGUGGUUAAAAUCAAGAUUCACUUGCACGUUCACUCAUAUAUGCUGCUUCCACUCCGGAAGUACCAUCCACAUAUAUCCACCCAUUUCCAUCUCCACAACCACCCAAAAAUAUUCUACUCCUAAUCCGGGAGAGAAUAGCCAAAAACAUUCUCCUAUUUCUGUUAUUUCCCGUGAAAUAAAUGCUCAAGUUAUCUUGGUUACUACCACUUGCUAUAUUAUUUCAAGAGAUGAAUGCUCUAAAAAAAAGAAGAAAAAAAAAUACGAGGAAAUAAAAAGGGGCAAGUGCCUGGAACCUCAAAAGAAAAAAAAGUGAGACGAGAGGUAAAAAUGGACAAGUGUCCGACAGUAGAAUUAGGGGUACAAGAUACCCACCUGAGAGAAAAAAAUAUAUAUAUAGAGUAUCUCAUUCUCCUCAAAAAGUUUCAAAAGAGCAAGGAAGGUAUGUAUCCCCUCAAAAGAGCAUAAGUAGAAUUAGACUUUCACCAUUGUUAUCACCAUCAUCACCAUACACCAUUCAUUCGCCACACAUGCACAUCUUGAUUUGACUUAUUGACUUGUUCUUCUGGAUCUAUGGUUUGACUAUGCAAUAAAUGUCUUCUAAGUAUGUAUUAGCUGUCUCCCACCUAUGAGCUCCAGAUAUCAAAAGCCUUAUUAGAGUAGGGUGAGAGAGAAGGCAAUACCACUAUGCCUUAUACCACAAAUACCACAUACUUUUAGAGAAGGCAUACACCAUUAAUGCCUUGGUAAGGAUCCAGAAAUACCACAAAAGAGAGACUAGAGAGAGUCAUACAAGGAAUCUCUGAGUUUUAUUUGAAAAUCUGCAAAAACUCCAGAGCUAUAGCUGAUCAAGAAUAAGAGACAUGGUGCUUGACUAGACCGUUCUAUCUUUUAACUACUCAAGACAGAAGUGACGGUUACAAGUCCCAUGGUGAAAGGUAAUGAGUAAGUUUUAAGUCUUAACAGUUUACUCUAACCUAGAGAUGAGAUCUUGUUUGAACGCAUGUGUAUCUUUAAGGCAUGAAACCACUGCAGAAACUCUUGAGUUCAUCUUUGCUCAGGGACGAGCAAAGGUUAAGCUUGGUGGAGCUUGUUGACGGUCCUUAAUGCUCACAUUUAACCAUCAACUAAUCAUGGAAAAGGAUCUAAAUGGAACCAACACCUAGACUUAGGGUUUUAUGUGACAGAAUUCCACUAGUUUUGGUGUUUGUCUAUUUCUGCAGGGGGUUAUCAGGAAAUACGGAGGAAAGGCCCACACGUCGGGUUUACAUAGAGAUAUUAACGUGCUGCGCAAUUAUCUUACAUCUAGAAGACUCCAGAAGCCACGAGACCGAAGCGGAGGCGAAACGGGGCCAGAGACAGGGCGCCUGCCCUGUCCUACUGGGCGCCCGCCCACCUCCUGAGUCCAAUCAGGACUCUGCUU